rnacentral:rRNA from 1 species
GGGUUGUGAGGUUAAGCGACUAAGCGUACACGGUGGAUGCCCUGGCAGUCAGAGGCGAUGAAGGACGUGCUAAUCUGCGAUAAGCGCCGGUAAGGUGAUAUGAACCGUUAUAACCGGCGAUUUCCGAAUGGGGAAACCCAGUGUGAUUCGUCACACUAUCAUUAACUGAAUCCAUAGGUUAAUGAGGCGAACCGGGGGAACUGAAACAUCUAAGUACCCCGAGGAAAAGAAAUCAACCGAGAUUCCCCCAGUAGCGGCGAGCGAACGGGGAGGAGCCCAGAGCCUGAAUCAGCAUGUGUGUUAGUGGAAGCGUCUGGAAAGGCGCGCGAUACAGGGUGACAGCCCCGUACACAAAAGCGCAUGUGCUGUGAGCUCGAUGAGUAGGGCGGGACACGUGGUAUCCUGUCUGAAUAUGGGGGGACCAUCCUCCAAGGCUAAAUACUCCUGACUGACCGAUAGUGAACCAGUACCGUGAGGGAAAGGCGAAAAGAACCCCGGCGAGGGGAGUGAAAAAGAACCUGAAACCGUGUACGUACAAGCAGUGGGAGCACAGGUUUACCUGUGUGACUGCGUACCUUUUGUAUAAUGGGUCAGCGACUUAUAUUCUGUAGCAAGGUUAACCGUAUAGGGGAGCCGUAGGGAAACCGAGUCUUAACCGGGCGUUAAGUUGCAGGGUAUAGACCCGAAACCCGGUGAUCUAGCCAUGGGCAGGUUGAAGGUUGGGUAACACUAACUGGAGGACCGAACCGACUAAUGUUGAAAAAUUAGCGGAUGACCUGUGGCUGGGGGUGAAAGGCCAAUCAAACCGGGAGAUAGCUGGUUCUCCCCGAAAGCUAUUUAGGUAGCGCCUCGUGAAUUCAUCUCCGGGGGUAGAGCACUGUUUCGGCUAGGGGGCCAUCCCGGCUUACCAACCCGAUGCAAACUGCGAAUACCGGAGAAUGUUAUCACGGGAGACACACGGCGGGUGCUAACGUCCGUCGUGAAGAGGGAAACAACCCAGACCGCCAGCUAAGGUCCCAAAGUCAUGGUUAAGUGGGAAACGAUGUGGGAAGGCCCAGACAGCCAGGAUGUUGGCUUAGAAGCAGCCAUCAUUUAAAGAAAGCGUAAUAGCUCACUGGUCGAGUCGGCCUGCGCGGAAGAUGUAACGGGGCUAAACCAUGCACCGAAGCUGCGGCAGCGAACGUAUCACUUAAAGCGAUUCAGCGGGUUACGAUUGACGGAGCGAAGCGACGUCAAAGCGUAUACAAAGUCGAGUCGGUUUAAGGAUACGUUCGUUGGGUAGGGGAGCGUUCUGUAAGCCCGUGAAGGUGGCCUGUGAGGGUUGCUGGAGGUAUCAGAAGUGCGAAUGCUGACAUAAGUAACGAUAAAGCGGGUGAAAAGCCCGCUCGCCGGAAGACCAAGGGUUCCUGUCCAACGUUAAUCGGGGCAGGGUGAGUCGACCCCUAAGGCGAGGCCGAAAGGCGUAGUCGAUGGGAAACGGGUUAAUAUUCCCGUACUUGGUGUUACUGCGAAGGGGGGACGGAGAAGGCUAUGUUGGCCGGGCGACGGUUGUCCCGGUUUAAGCGUGUAGGUGUGUGUUCCAGGUAAAUCCGGUUCACUUUAACACUGAGGCGUGACGACGAGGCACUACGGUGCUGAAGCAACAAAUGCCCUGCUUCCAGGAAAAGCCUCUAAGCAUCAGGUAACACGAAAUCGUACCCCAAACCGACACAGGUGGUCAGGUAGAGAAUACCAAGGCGCUUGAGAGAACUCGGGUGAAGGAACUAGGCAAAAUGGUGCCGUAACUUCGGGAGAAGGCACGCUGACACGUAGGUGAAGUGAUUUACUCAUGGAGCUGAAGUCAGUCGAAGAUACCAGCUGGCUGCAACUGUUUAUUAAAAACACAGCACUGUGCAAACACGAAAGUGGACGUAUACGGUGUGACGCCUGCCCGGUGCCGGAAGGUUAAUUGAUGGGGUCAGCGUAAGCGAAGCUCCUGAUCGAAGCCCCGGUAAACGGCGGCCGUAACUAUAACGGUCCUAAGGUAGCGAAAUUCCUUGUCGGGUAAGUUCCGACCUGCACGAAUGGCGUAAUGAUGGCCAGGCUGUCUCCACCCGAGACUCAGUGAAAUUGAACUCGCUGUGAAGAUGCAGUGUACCCGCGGCAAGACGGAAAGACCCCGUGAACCUUUACUAUAGCUUGACACUGAACAUUGAGCCUUGAUGUGUAGGAUAGGUGGGAGGCUUUGAAGUGUGGACGCCAGUCUGCAUGGAGCCGACCUUGAAAUACCACCCUUUAAUGUUUGAUGUUCUAACGUGGACCCGUAAUCCGGGUUGCGGACAGUGUCUGGUGGGUAGUUUGACUGGGGCGGUCUCCUCCUAAAGAGUAACGGAGGAGCACGAAGGUUGGCUAAUCCUGGUCGGACAUCAGGAGGUUAGUGCAAUGGCAUAAGCCAGCUUGACUGCGAGCGUGACGGCGCGAGCAGGUGCGAAAGCAGGUCAUAGUGAUCCGGUGGUUCUGAAUGGAAGGGCCAUCGCUCAACGGAUAAAAGGUACUCCGGGGAUAACAGGCUGAUACCGCCCAAGAGUUCAUAUCGACGGCGGUGUUUGGCACCUCGAUGUCGGCUCAUCACAUCCUGGGGCUGAAGUAGGUCCCAAGGGUAUGGCUGUUCGCCAUUUAAAGUGGUACGCGAGCUGGGUUUAGAACGUCGUGAGACAGUUCGGUCCCUAUCUGCCGUGGGCGCUGGAGAACUGAGGGGGGCUGCUCCUAGUACGAGAGGACCGGAGUGGACGCAUCACUGGUGUUCGGGUUGUCAUGCCAAUGGCACUGCCCGGUAGCUAAAUGCGGAAGAGAUAAGUGCUGAAAGCAUCUAAGCACGAAACUUGCCCCGAGAUGAGUUCUCCCUGAGACUUAGAGUCUCCUGAAGGAACGUUGAAGACGACGACGUUGAUAGGCCGGGUGUGUAAGCGCAGCGAUGCGUUGAGCUAACCGGUACUAAUGAACCGUGAGGCUUAACCUUACAACGCCGAAG